UUGAGAAGUCACAACAAAAGAAGACAAAACAUCUAGACUUUAUUGCUCAAGCUCAUCUGAGUUUUAAAAAGCAGCGUGUAUACCGACUGGGCGAUCGACUUGUCUGUCAACUCGGGGCUCCGCUGUUGCUAAGGCGGAAGGGGAACUCGAGAGUCUUCUUCCUACUUCUCAUUUGCUGUUUUCCGACCCCUCCAGCCCGAGCUUCCGGAUCCGUCAAGUCCAUAGGAAAAGAAUGCGCUCUGAGUAUUUGAUUGAUGGACGCUCUCGCCCAAUGGACGGAAGGCUUCUGCAACCUCCGGGAAACCCAAUAGAAAUUAGGGCUGGGAGAUUCCCCCCAAUGAGCGUGACUCUGGGGGCGGCGCCUGAAAGGUGAUUGGGCGAAUGCCGUCCGGGGGCGGGCGGAAGCCAAGGGGGGGAGCUCCGGGCCUGCUGGCUGGGGACGCCGCCAUUUUGGGCGCUUCGCGGAUGGUGUCGGGGAGCGCGCUUCGCGCCUGAGCGCAGCCAGCGGCAGGGCCGGAGUCACCGAGGAGUCAGGCUUGCUGGAGGGAGGACCUGGCCUGGAGGAAGCCCGUUCCGCUUUUGGACAGCUGUGAUUGUUAGGACGUUUCCUUCCCCUUGCGCCACUGCUGAGACUCUCUCACAAGGUAGGUCGGUCCAGGACAUCACCGCUCACCUCCUGAGGGUCAGAAUACCCCAGGCCUGGCUCUUGUCACACUGCUCGGCUUCUCCUGGUUUCCAAACCCCCAUCUAUGGUUGUCGCUUCAAUCACAAUGCAGAAAUAGCCAGAGAGAUGUCAGGGACCUCCUAGCUUGGUCUGAGUGAAUCCUAGUGCUCUGGAAGGUGCAGAAAACAGGACCUUGACACCCACCCAGAAGUGCCAGACCAGGUGCUGGGGAGAAAAGCGAAAGGACCAUCCCUGUGGGCCUACAGCAGGGAGGGCCUGGAAAAUAGGGGCGACAGGAUGAGUCGGAACCCAACAAGGACCUUGGGGUCCUCAAGGAAGAGACCCAGGGACCCCGUGAGGAGAGGUGGAGGGAAUCCUGUCUGGAUUCAGUUCUGCAAGCAUUAGGUGCUCAGGUUUGAGGGGCUCUGCGGUCGCCAGAAGAGACAGAUCUAAAAGGGAAUCUGCCCUUCAGUUUAUACUAUGUGGGGAGGAUACAAGAUGUUCAUAGAUUAAGGAUAAUAAAUGACCAGCAUCUCUAGCA
rnacentral:lncRNA from 1 species